rnacentral:rRNA from 1 species
GGGCCCGCACAAGCGGUGGAGCAUGUGGUUUAAUUCGAUGAUACGCGAGGAACCUUACCAGGACUUAAAUGUAAGUUGCAUGAUUCAGAAAUGAAUCUUUCUUCGGACUACUUACAAGGUGCUGCAUGGUUGUCGUCAGCUCGUGCCGUGAGGUGUCAGGUUAAGUCCUAUAACGAGCGCAACCCCUAUCGUUAGUUGCCAUCAAGUAAAGUUGGGAACUCUAGCGAAACUGCCGGUGCAAACCGAGAGGAAGGUGGGGAUGACGUCAAAUCAUCACGGCCCUUACGUUCUGGGCUACACACGUGCUACAAUGGUCGGUACAGAAAGCAGCCACUAUGCGAAUAGGAGCUAAUCUUUAAAACCGAUCUCAGUUCGGAUCGCAGUCUGCAACUCGACUGCGUGAAGCUGGAAUCGCUAGUAAUCG